rnacentral:rRNA from 1 species
UACGAAGGGGGCUAGCGUUGCUCGGAAUUACUGGGCGUAAAGGGCGCGUAGGCGGAUAGUUUAGUCAGAGGUGAAAGCCCAGGGCUCAACCCUGGAAUUGCCUUUGAUACUGGCUAUCUUGAGUUCGGGAGAGGUGAGUGGAACUCCGAGUGUAGAGGUGAAAUUCGUAGAUAUCAGGAGGAACACCUGUGGCGAAAGCGGCUCACUGGACCAUAACUGACGCUGAUGCACGAAAGCUAGGGGAGCAAACAGG